rnacentral:rRNA from 1 species
UUCCCUCAAACCCUUCCCACCAAGCAGCCGCCGCCGCAACCCUAGAGCCUCGCCUCCCUCCUCUCCUCUCCCGGGCGCCUCCACCCCCCGCCCAGCGGCGCGAAGCGACCAUGACGUUCAAGCGGAGGAACGGCGGGCGCAACAAGCAUGGCCGCGGCCACGUCAAGUACAUCCGCUGCUCCAACUGCGCCAAGUGCUGCCCCAAGGACAAGGCUAUCAAGCGUUUCUUGGUGAGGAACAUCGUGGAGCAGGCUGCUGUGAGAGAUGUGCAGGAGGCUUGUGUCCAUGAUGGAUAUGUCCUUCCCAAGCUGUACGCCAAGGUGCACCACUGUGUUUCUUGUGCCAUCCAUGCUCACAUUGUCCGUGUCCGCUCCCGUGAGAACAGGAGGAACCGUGAGCCCCCGCAGCGUUUCAGGCGCAGGGACGACGGCCCGAGGCCUGGACAGGGUGGCCCGCCCCGUGCUGGUGGCCCUGGAGGCCCUGGUGGUGCUCCUGCCGGCGCUGGUGCUGUCCCUGGAGCUCCUGCUCCCCGUGUGGCGCUUUGAUCUAGUUCUGGCAUGAUUGGGCGGUGGCGCCAUCCCUAGUUUUACCCGUGUCUGGAUAUUGAACUAUUCUACCUAGUUUUUGCUGCAAUCGGUUGUACUGAAAGUUGGUUGGUCAAAAGCACAAUUUGUGAUCAGGUCUUUAAUGUUUUGGCAAUUUCGCUGCUAUCUAUAAUCAGAGAGAACUUUUUGGUUUGUCUGGGGAUGCCCCCUGUGGUUUCGCGUUCAUGCAUGUUUUUUAGUUGUUGAUUCAUUCAUGAAGAGGUUGU